CCAGCAAAUCGCGACUGCUCCCACAGAUGGGCCCUGGGGGACCAUUCUCAGGCAUUUCUGCAAGCCAUUGCAGACAAUAACAUUCAGGAUCACAACGUGAAGGGCUUUUUGUGUCAAAUAGAAAGGUACUGUAGGCAGUGCCAUUUGACCACACCGAUCAUGUUUCCCCCCGAGCACCCCGUGGAAGAGGUCGGUCGCUUGCUGUUAUGUUGCUUCUUAAAACAUGAAGAUUUAGGUCAUGUGGCAUUAUCUUUAGUUCAUGCAGGUGUACUUGAUAUUGAGCAAAUAAAGCACAGAACGUUGCCUAAGUCAGUGGUGGAUGUUUGUAGAGUUGUCUACCAAGCAAAAUGUUCGCUCAUUAAGACUCAUCAAGAACAGGGCCGUUCUUACAAGGAGGUCUGCACUCCUGUCAUCGAACGUUUGAGAUUCCUCUCUAAUGAAUUGAGACCUGCUGUUGGUAAUGACCUCUCUAUAAUCUCUGAGUUUAAAUUGUUAAGUUCUUUGCCCCGUUGGAGGAGGAUAGCUCAGAAGAUAAUUCGGGAACGGAGGAAAAAGAGAAGUAAGAAUGUAAAAGGACAGAAGAUACUAUUAAAGCAUGUGCUUCACCCUGCCUCGCUGGACCUGUGAUUUCAGAGUGAAGUUUCUCUACUGUUGAUUCCAUGUGACAUUUCUACCUGCUGCCAUCAUUUUUAUGUAUAGUUAUGAUUAAAUACGGAAAUCUCUCCUAUUUUUUCAACCGAUCAGACAAUGAGGCAGUUUAGGAAUUGAGUGUGGUAUGAUUUGAUUACUAGUAAAUUGAUGUUGAAAACGUAAAUAAUCUUUGCUAAAUUGAUGGGAACAAGGACGUAUUUUUAUUUUAUUAGUUAUCCUGGUAAUGAGAUAUAAUGGGAACAUUUAAACUUAUUGCCAUUCUUCUAAAGAAAUGUUUUUUGUUUGGAAAUAUUGAGUAUUCUGAUACAUGGAGAAUUAUAAAGGGAAGCUGAAAGAGUUACUGACAUUUUCCUGGAAGUAGCUGUGUAAGAGUACAGAAAAGUCUUUUUGCAUUAAAUCCAAAUUUGAAUAAAAAUGCUUAGAAAUUAUAAAAUAGUUUAGAAUUCAGUCACUUGUGAUUA
rnacentral:lncRNA from 1 species